rnacentral:snoRNA from 1 species
UGAAGGGCGGUGAUUAUAUUCAAUUCCUCGUACUGAAAGCCGCAAGGCAUGACAGACACUUAUACACCCAUAGAAUAUGAGCCCU